rnacentral:rRNA from 1 species
AUCAUAGAAGGCAUCUUUUAUGGUUGAAAAUUCCGAUGGUUAGAGAUGGGCAUGCGUUGUAUUAGCUAGUUGGUGGGGUAACGGCUCACCAAGGCGACGAUACAUAGGGGGACUGAGAGGUUAACCCCCCACACUGGUACUGAGACACGGACCAGACUCCUACGGGAGGCAGCAGUGAGGAAUAUUGGUCAAUGGACGCAGGUCUGAACCAGCCAUGCCGCGUGCAGGAUGACGGCUCUAUGAGUUGUAAACUGCUUUUGUACGAGGGUAAACGCAGAUACGUGUAUCUGUCUGAAAGUAUCGUACGAAUAAGGAUCGGCUAACUCCGUGCCAGCAGCCGCGGUAAUACGGAGGAUUCAAGCGUUAUCCGGAUUUAUUGGGUUUAAAGGGUGCGUAGGCGGUUUGAUAAGUUAGAGGUGAAAUUUCGGGGCUCAACCCUGAACGUGCCUCUAAUACUGUUGAGCUAGAGAGUAGUUGCGGUAGGCGGAAUGUAUGGUGUAGCGGUGAAAUGCUUAGAGAUCAUACAGAACACCGAUUGCGAAGGCAGCUUACCAAACUAUAUCUGACGUUGAGGCACGAAAGCGUGGGGAGCAAACAGGAUUAGAUACCCUGGUAGUCCACGCAGUAAACGAUGAUAACUCGUUGUCGGCGAUACACAGUCGGUGACUAAGCGAAAGCGAUAAGUUAUCCACCUGGGGAGUAC